GAGACGCUUUCACCAUGGUGAUGCGUUCACGUUGAUGGCUUAUCCCACUCAAACUAAACAGCGGGGGCAUAUAUCAAGUGUUUACAUUAUUACAAGGAUGAAAUGUAGACUUUGUCCAACUAUAAAGAAUCAAAUGGCCCAGUGUCCAGUAUCACGGUCAACAGGUUUGACAGCAGGUCGUGAUGCAGGUCGGAGGUUUGCUGGCAUCAGCCAGGCAUGGUGGGAGCUUCCUUCACCACUGCCAUUAAUCAGCUUUACCUUUCAGGUUCAGCUAGACCACAAUGGCUGAAGACAAGGCUUUCUCAUCAUGGGGGACUGCUGCUCAACUGUGGGGCUUUCAUGAGACCUCUGGAGAGGAGGAGGAAAUGGGAGAAGGGAACGAACCAGCGCUGAAAGAAAAGUUUCCUUCAAAAGUAGGAAAGGAGAAGAAUGGAAUAGAAAAUAAGCUUUUGUACUUAAGGGGGAUGCCUGAACAGGGGGCUGUUGAUCUUCACUGAGUGGACAAAACAUUUGGAACACCUUCCUAAUAUUGAGUUGCACCCCUUUUUCAGUCGGAAUAGCCUCAAUUCAUCGGGGCACGGACUCUACAAGGUGUCAAGCGUUCCACAGGGAUGCUGGCCUAUGUUGACUCCAAUGCUUCCCACAGUUGUGUCAAGUUGGCUGGAUGUCGUUUGGGUGGUCAACCAUUCUUGAUACACACGGGAAACUGUUGACCGUGAAAACCACAGCAGCGUUGCAGUUCUUGACGCACUCAAACCGGUGCGCCUGGGACCUACUCGCAUACCACGUUCAAAGGCACUUAAAUCUGUUAUUUUGCCCAUUCACCCUCUGAAGGGCACACGUACAAAAUACAUGUCUCAUUUGUCCCAAGGCUUGAAAAUACUUCUUUAACCUGACUCCUCCCCACAUGCACAAGUACAGUGAAAUGCCUUUCUUGCAGCUCUAACCCCAACAAUGCAGGAAUCAAUAACAAUGUAAUACUAAAAAAAAAACAUACGGUAGGAAAAAACACACACACUAAAUAGAAAUAAGAAGAUGAGAAAGUAAGAAGCUAUAUACAGGGUCAGUAGUGAAAUACAGGGUCAGUUCCAGGGUCAGUAGUGAAAUACAGGGUCAGUAGUGAAAUACAGGGUCAGUUCCAGGUUCAGUAGCGAAAUACAGUGUCAGUUCCAGGUUCAGUUCCAAUACCAUAUUUACAAUAUGCAGGGUUACUGGAGUGAUAGAGGUACAGUGCCUUUAGAACGUUUUUAUACCCUUUGAUUUAUUCAACAUUUUGUUGUGUUACAGCCUGAAUUCACAAUACCCCAUAAUGACAAAGUGAAAACAUUUUUUUGAAACGUUUGCCAAUUUAUUGAAAAUGAAAUACAGAAAUAUCUAAUUUACAUAAGUAUUCACACCCCUGAAUCAAUACAUGUUAGAAGCACCUUGGCAGCCAUUACAGCUUUGAGUAUUUCUGGAUAAAUCGCUAAGAGUUCUGGAUUGUACAAUUUGCACAUUAUUCUUUUUUUUUAAAUUCUACUAGUUCUUUGAAGUUGGUUGUUGAUCAUUGUUAGACAGUCAUUUUCAAGUCUUGCUAGAUUUCAAAGAAGAUUUAAGUCAAAACUGUAACUCGGCCACUCAGGAAGAUUAAAUGAUGUCUUGGUAAACAACUCCAGUGUAUAAUUUGGCCUUGUGUUUUAGGUUAUUUUCCUGCUGAAAGGUUCAUUUGUCUCCAGUGGCAGUUUGAAAGCAGACAGAACCAGGUUUCCCUCUUAAGAUUGUGCAUGUGCUUAGCUCUAGUCCGAUAAUUUUUUUAUCAAAAAAACUCCCUAGUUCUUGCCAAUCUGCGCACGGGGCCGUGAACUUCCUACAGGACUGGCGCGCAGAAGAAAUGCUGUCAAAUCAAAUCAAAUGUAUUUAUAUAGCCCUUCGUACAUCAGCUGAUAUCUCAAAGUGCUGUACAGAAACCUAGCCUAAAACCCCAAACAGCAAGCAAUGCAGCACGGUGGCAAGGAAAAACUCCCUAGAAAGGCCAAAACCUAGGAAGAAACCUAGAGAGGAACCAGGCUAUGAGGGGUGACCAGUCCUCUUCUGGCUGUGCCAGGUGGAGAUUAUAACAGAACAUGGCCAAGAUGUUCAAAUGUUCAUAAAUGACCAGAAUGGUUAAAUAAUAAUAAUCACAGUAGUUGUCGAGGGUGCAGCAAGUCAGCACCUCAGGAGUAAAUGUCAGUUGCCUUUUCAUAGCCGAUCAUUAAGAGUAUCUCUACCGCUCCUGCUGUCUCUAGAGAGUUGAAAACAGGAUGUCUGGGACAGGUAGCACGUCCGGUGAACAGGUCAGAAUUCCAUAGCCGCAGGCAGAACAGUUGAAACUGGAGCAGCAGCACGGCCAGGUGGACUGGGGACAGCAAGGAGUCAUGCCGGGUAGUCCUGAGGCAUGGUCCAAGGGCUCAGGUCCUCCGAGAUAAAGAGAGAAUUCGAGAGAGCAUACUUAAAUUCACACAGGACACCGGAUAAGACAGGAGAAGUACUCCAGAUAUAACAAACUGACCCUAGCCCCCCAACACAUAAACUACUGCAGCAUAAAUACUGGAGGCUAAGACAGGUGGGGUCAGGAGACACUGUGGCCCCAUCCGAUGAUACCCCCAGACAGGGCCAAACAGGAAGGAUAUAACCCCACCCACUUUGCCAAAGCACAGCCCCCACACCACUAGAGGGAUAUCUUCAAACACCAACUUACCAUCCUGUGACAAGGCCGAGUAUAGCCCACAAAGAUCUUCGCCACAGCACAAUCCAAGGGGGGGCGCCAACCCAGACAGGAAGACCACGUCAGCAACUCAACCCACUCAAGUGACGCACCAUCCUAGGGACGGCAUGGAAGAGCACCAGUAAGCCAGUGACUCAGCAGGCAGAUUUACUUUAGUGCCUUGUUGCAAACAGAUUGCAUGUUUUGGAAUAUAUAUAUAUAUUCUGUACAGGCUUCCUUCUUUUCACUCUGUCAUUUAGGUUAGUAUUGUGAGUAACUACAAUGUUGUUGAUCCAUCCUCAGUUUUCUCCUAUCACAGCCAUUAAACUCUAACUGUUUUA